rnacentral:rRNA from 1 species
AAGUCGAGACGCGAACGUUUCCUUCGGGAUACUAGUAGAGAGGCGCACGGGUGAGUAACGCGUAAGUAAUCUACCUCUCGCAUCUGGAUAACCCACCGAAAGGUGUGCUUAUACUUGACACGUGUGGAAUUAUACUGUGAGUAUAGAGAAAGGUGGCCUCUUCAUGAAAGCUACUGUGCGGGGAGGAGCUUGCGUACCAUUAGCUAGUUGGUAGGGUAACGGCCUACCAAGGCGAUGAGGGUUAGCAGCUCUGAGAGGAUGAUCCGCCACACUGGUACUGAAACACGGUCCAGACUCCUACGGGAGGCAGCAGUGAGGAAUAUUGCGCAAUGGGGGCAACCCUGACGCAGCGACGCCGCGUGGAUGUUGAAGGCAUUCGGGUUGUAAAAUCCUGUCAGAUGGGAAGAAGUGCUAUAUAGUUAAUAUCUGUAUAGUUUGACGGUACCAUCAAAGGAAGCACCGGCUAACUCCGUGCCAGCAGCCGCGGUAAUACGGAGGGUGCAAGCGUUGUUCGGAAUUACUGGGCGUAAAGCGCGCGUAGGCGGCUAUGUAAGUCAGAUGUGAAAGCCCGCGGCUCAACCGUGGAAGUGCAUUUGAAACUGUAUAGCUUGAGUACUGGAGGGGGUAGUGGAAUUCCCGGUGUAGAGGUGAAAUUCGUAGAUAU